AUUGAACGCUGGCGGAAUGCUUUACACAUGCAAGUCGAACGAUGAACCUUAGCUUGCUAAGGGGAUUAGUGGCGAACGGGUGAGUAAUGUAUCGGAACGUAUCCAAUAAUGGGGGAUAACUAGUCGAAAGAUUAGCUAAUACCGCAUACGUCCUACGGGAGAAAGCUAGGGACCUUCGGGCCUGGCGUUAAUGGAGCGGCCGAUAUCUGAUUAGCUAGUUGGUGGGGUAAAGGCUCACCAAGGCGACGAUCAGUAGCUGGUCUGAGAGGACGACCAGCCCAACUGGAACUGAGACACGGUCCAGACUCCUACGGGAGGCAGCAGUGGGGAAUUUUGGACAAUGGGCGAAAGCCUGAUCCAGCCAUUCCGCGUGAGUGAAGAAGGCCUUCGGGUUGUAAAGCUCUUUCGCAAGGGAAGAAAACUUAAGCUCUAACAUAGCUUGAGGUUGACGGUACCUUGAUAAGAAGCACCGGCUAACUACGUGCCAGCCGCCGCCGUAA
rnacentral:rRNA from 1 species